UAUGGRACUGUAUUAGUGGGYCCAACCCCAGUAAAUAUAAUAGGAAGAAAUAUUUUGACAUUAAUUGGAUGUACUUUGAGUUUCCCCAUCAGCCCCAUAGAAAUAGUACCAGU
rfam:HIV-1 isolate T14788 from Cameroon gag protein (gag) gene, complete cds; pol protein (pol) gene, partial cds; and vif protein (vif), vpr protein (vpr), truncated tat protein (tat), rev protein (rev), vpu protein (vpu), envelope glycoprotein (env), an